GGAUUUUAGCUGCGGAUCUAGAUCCAUUAGAAGGUGGUGACAUCCAUUUGGUCGGUUAUGACUAACCCUUAGAAGAAUAGCAUAGCGCAGCACAGCACAACAGAAACUAUCAGAAUGCAUCAAAUGUCACAAAGGCUCUCCUACCAGGAUGACAAAAAUCGGCAACUGAUGCUCCCAGAGGAGGACAAGAGGGACAUCCGGCAAUCUCCAAAGAGGGGUUUCCUCCGCUCUGCCUCACUAGGUCAAAGAGCCUCCUUCCACCUGGAAUGUCUGAAGUGACAGAAGGACCGAGGGGGAGACAUCUCUCAGAAGACAGUCCUGCCCUUGCAUCUGGUUCAUCAUCAGUUCAUGGAGGGACGUGUUCAGCUCACUCACCUACAGUGACCAGUGUGGUGGAGCCGCUGACAUCUCAAAGAUCUAUUUGGGAAGCCCCAGCUCCCUGUCCUCCCCAACACCUAGUGAGAAAGACGGUGCGUGGAAGGGAGUCCCAUGGGCAGAUGCUUACACGGCCUCUUUGCGAAGCUUCUUCUGGGUUUAACUUCAUUCAUCAAUUUAUUUUUAUGUCAAAGCAA
rnacentral:lncRNA from 10 species